rnacentral:tRNA from 1 species
GUGGCUAUAGUUUAGUGGUAGAACAGUGGUUUGUGGCACCACUGGUUCGGGUUCGAUUCCCGAUAGCCACCCA